UGCAUCGUUGAAGAAGGAAGAAAAAAGCACUGACAAAAAGAAGAAGAAACGCAAGGUGCCAAAAAGCAGUGACUCUUCCAACACGAAG
rnacentral:rRNA from 1 species